rnacentral:misc_RNA from 1 species
UGUACGAGUCGCGACAGGCGC